rnacentral:pre_miRNA from 1 species
UCUCAUGGAUGAGCAAAGAAAGUGGUUUUCCAAGAUGGAAUCUACUCAUGUUGAAGAUGUUAUGAA